rnacentral:rRNA from 1 species
CACGUAGGGGGCAAGCGUUGUCCGGAUUUAUUGGGCGUAAAGAGCUCGUAGGCGGCUUAGUAAGUCGGGUGUGAAACCUCCAGGCUCAACCUGGAGACGCCACCCGAUACUGCUGUGGCUAGAGUCCGGUAGGGGAGCGUGGAAUUCCUGGUGUAGCGGUGGAAUGCGCAGAUAUCAGGAGGAACACCAGCGGCGAAGGCGGCGCUCUGGGCCGGUACUGACGCUGAGGAGCGAAAGCGUGGGGAGCAAACAGG